rnacentral:hammerhead_ribozyme from 1 species
GCGCUACUGAUGAGUCCCAUAAUAGGACGAAACGGCCGUCCAGUGU